rnacentral:lncRNA from 1 species
CAUCUCUUGACCAGGGUGUUCUCACCAUGCCCUUUCUACAAACAAAAAAAUGAAGAUGUGGAGACUUGGAGACAGGUGGCACCUCGUGCUUCCUCCGAAGGGAGAGCCCAUUUCCUAACAGCUGGAUCAAAGGCAUGAAAUGAACAUGGAGUCCCUGAAGACGAAGAGAAGGCAUGGCUUCCAGGGAGAAAUUGUACAUUACAGGAAUGCAGAUAUGAUUCCUAUGGAUGAGGGUAACCUAGAGGCUAGAAGAACAAUAGGACAGAAGAAGCCUGGGUCCCUGAACAACCUUGUGGAGCAUAGACACCUACGUGGCCUGGACUGCCAGCUCACAAUGGGCCUGUCCGUGAGAGAAGGAAACUUCCCUCUUGUUUAAGCAACUGUACUUUUGAGAAUCUCUUGGUCUAUACCCUAAUGAAUAGGCCAUCAUAAAUGGAUAUCAAAGUAAGGAAAUCUGUGUAAAUGAUUUAAUAAAACAUUACCUCAGGUAUGAAAUAA